AUCCAGCUGACGGGUCCCAGAUAGGGUGAAACGCGUUUCUUGGAU
rfam:Schistosoma curassoni strain Dakar, Senegal genome assembly, scaffold: SCTD_scaffold0000160